rnacentral:misc_RNA from 1 species
CCUGAUCGUGAGUUCUUCUAGGUAUCCAUUUUGAUAUCAUGUUUGGGAAGUCCUGAUAAUGUUAAAAAUGGGAGUUGUUGAAUAGCUGUUCUCUCUUAGGUUGGUUGAGGGUAGAGCUUUGGACAAAUACCAUACGUAUGAGCUUGAUUACCCUUCUCUAAAGAAUUUGAGAAAUAAAAACUAAAAUUAGCAGUAGUAGGAUAUGAACUGAACUUUGACUGCAAACAUUUGUAACAAAGAUGGCGAUA